AAUCGCAGCAACCCAGUGUCUCCAGAGAGAAGGGGUUAGCCGUGCGUGUAAGCGGCACAGAGAACAAAGGCAGAGUGAACAAGUACAAGAACAGAAGAACGAGCCAAAGAACAGAGACGCACGGCCUUGUGGAUCUUCCUCUUUCCCAGCACUGGUCCCGGUCUCAUCCAGCUGGACUUUGCUUCCUGCCUGUGAAGGGACAUUUACGGCAUCAGGGUAAACUGGAAAAUUGCCAUUUUCAUCUGGAGCAACGGACUGCCAGCAGCUUCCCAUGGCUCAAACUAAGGAGCACUGGUUGCUGUUCCAGGGCUGAAGUUCUCCCGUGUGUCAGCUCAGGCCCGUCCCGAGGGUCUGUGAGUUAAUCCCUCAUUAAAGGCGCUGGGAAAUGAAUAAUUAAACAGGUGCCAUUUUCAUGUUUCAGGUAAUGAGAGGUCCUCGGAUCCCAGAGGGUGCCGGCGGGGGCGAAGCCAGGGCAGUGUAGAAGACUCGCCUCCACAAGCGGGAGCUUCUGUCUGCACUCUAAAGGCCUGGCCAAGUGUCUGCCCUAACCUGAAGCCAAAGAGUAGCUCCGGGCUCAGCUCUGGCUCUCACCACUUGCUCAGCUUGGGCAGAGCAGGUAAACCGUGCCUUUUCUUGGCUCUAUAUUUAAAAUGAAUAAUAAUGGUAACCACCUUUCGGCAGCGAGAAUCCCUGAGCAAUGGUUAUUAGCUGCUGCAUGGCAUUUUUCUGAUCACAGGUAAGUCGUCUCCGGC